rnacentral:rRNA from 1 species
UACGUAGGGUGCGAGCGUUAAUCGGAAUUACUGGGCGUAAAGCGUGCGCAGGCGGUUUUGUAAGACAGGCGUGAAAUCCCCGGGCUUAACCUGGGAACUGCGUUUGUGACUGCAAGACUAGAGUACGGCAGAGGGGGGUAGAAUUCCACGUGUAGCAGUGAAAUGCGUAGAUAUGUGGAGGAAUACCGAUGGCGAAGGCAGCCCCCUGGGUCGAUACUGACGCUCAUGCACGAAAGCGUGGGGGGAGCAAACAGGAUUAGAUACCCUGGUAGUCCACGCCCUAAACGAUGUCAACUAGGUGUUGGGGAAGGAGACUUCUUUAGUACCGCAGCUAACGCGAUAAGUUGACCGCCUGGGGAGUACGGUCGCAAGAUUAAAACU